UGGCAAAUGAGACAAAAAGCCCUAGUGCAUCUGCGGACAAACGGCAGAAGACAGAUGAGGCCGUACAGACGGAUCAGAUUGGGAACUCAGAGGUCGAACCCAUAAGAUUGUUAGACACGCAGGACUCGGCCAACCCAGAAUACAGAAAAGUUGUAACUGUAGGAGAUUCCGUAAUAAUAAAAUUGUCACCGUUGGAGGAAGUCAAAGUUUACGCAUUCCUUGGCGCAACAAUUCGAAAAUAACAGUAUCUUAUAAAUACUAGAAGAAUUCCUUCGUCGCAUUUUGUUUAUUUGAUGAUUCAUGUUGGUGCCAAUAACAUGGUAAAAGGGUUCUUUGUUUCAUAGACGUAUUCAGGUAUGGUGAAUCGUACAAUAGCACCCAAAAUCCACAUCAUUAUUUCUUCUAUACUCCCUGGACCAGUGGACCGUAAAACAACUGAUGAAAGAAUAAGAGAAUUUAAUUCUAAAAUUGAAAAAAGUUUUGUUAGUGGAUCUUGGUGUAAAGUUUAUCAAAUCUUACAGACGUUUUUGCUAUACAAGGCUCAAAGUUCAAUUUAAAAGUAAAUUUCAAUCUACACUUAGGUCGUGUUGUAACGGAUAUAUACAGCAAUUGUUUCAAAAUGAUGAUGUUCUGCUCUCAAAUAUUUGCGACUUCAUAACCUCAGAAAUCCCAGGAAAUGCCCAGAAAAGCCAGAAAUAUCCCACAAAAGGCCCAGAAGACAUGAAAACAACCCUUUGUAUACCAGUUACGCUUUCUAAUAAAUUAUAACAUUAGCCUUAUCAACUAGGUUGCCUAGACCCAAGAGAAUUAUUGAGCUGCAUGUUGACAUACAAACUGACCUAAGUGAACCACAGCAUUCUGCAGAAAGUAGCAGAGAUUUACUGCAAUGAAAUGCUCCGUUGUCCCUACUGUUACGUAAAAGCCAAAGUCAGGAAAAUCAAUCUCUAAUAAAACUUUAAAGACCUUGGAAUCAGAUCAUACCAAAAACUAUCUAACAAUUGUGUGGUAGCUAUUCUCAAAAUCGGGGCGAUAAUAGUUUCAACAAAUUGACAAUAGGAAGAACGGAGCACUGAAUGCCUCUUAGAAUUGCACAGAUUUGCUCCAACAAUGACAUCAUUUGAUGGCAUCGGAUGGAUUCAAUGUACGCACGAAAUAUGGUUUAACAUGUUGAGAUAAUGGAACUGAAUUAUUGGUUGUAAUUAUAAUAAACUAAUACAGAAAAUUUUCAAUAUGACUAAAGUAACAUGCCGAUAACAGGCGCAGCGCUGCUUAUAUGGAUCUCAACGUUCUGGAGUACUACCAUGAUAAAAUAUGUAUUGACCUGCAGACUGUGUAUGACGGACUUAGGGAAAGACUUUGGACACACAACUUACAUAGCAUUCCAAUACUGUGAACCAACGAAAUUAAAUUACAUUUAAUCAAUAUGACCUAUACGUUUUAAAAACCGGUACCAUCAAGAGAGACAAUGUAAAUUCUAUAAGGGUUAAGAGAUUGAAGAUACAAAUAAUACCAAAUAUAAUUCGGUCAGAUUUAGCAAAUCUGCCACUAUUUUAAAUGAUAACGAUUUCAUACAGCUAUCGCUUAUUUACAUGUUAUUACCAGUGAUAAUGUCAGUGUCAGUAAUUAUCAUGAUUAUUAUUCAUUUUGUCAUACAGUGUCCUAUAAUAAAAUAGAGUUUCAUUCAAGUGAUUUUGUUAAGUACCCACGAUGAUAAUGUGAACAAUUUACGUGACAGAGUUAGA